AAGGAUUUAAGUUAAUUAAACUAGUAACCUUCAAAGUUACCAAUAAAGAACCCCCCCCCUUUAAGCCUUA
rnacentral:tRNA from 1 species